GAUGAACGCUGGCGGCGUGCCUAAUACAUGCAAGUCGAGCGAACAGAUGAGGAGCUUGCUCCUCUGACGUUAGCGGCGGACGGGUGAGUAACACGUGGAUAACCUACCUAUAAGACUGGGAUAACUUCGGGAGACCGGAGCUAAUACCGGAUAAUAUAUUGAACCGCAUGGUUCAAUAGUGAAAGACGGUUUUGCUGUCACUUAUAGAUGGAUCCGCGCCGCAUUAGCUAGUUGGUAAGGUAACGGCUUACUAAGGCAACGAUGCGUAGCCGACCUGAGAGGGUGAUCGGCCACACUGGAACUGAGACACGGUCCAGACUCCUACGGGAGGCAGCAGUAGGGAAUCUUCCGCAAUGGGCGAAAGCCUGACGGAGCAACGCCGCGUGAGUGAUGAAGGUCUUCGGAUCGUAAAACUCUGUUAUUAGGGAAGAACAAAUGUGUAAGUAACUAUGCACGUCUUGACGGUACCUAAUCAGAAAGCCACGGCUAACUACGUG
rnacentral:rRNA from 1 species